GACGAACGCUGGCAGCGUGCCUAAUACAUGCAAGUAGAACGCAGUUGCGAACGGGUGAGUAACGCGUAGGUACCUGCCUCAUAUCGGGGGAUAACUAUUUGAAACGAUAGCUAAUACCCCAUACUGUGAGAUGGACCUUCGUUGUUUUAACUAGUUGGUGAGGGAAAGGCUCACCAAGGCGACGAUACAUAGCCGACCUGAGAGGGUGAACGGCAACACUGGGACUGGGAAAAGGCCCAGACUCAUAAGGGAGGCAGCAGUAGGGAAUAUUCGGCAAUGGACGGAAGUCUGACCGAGCAACGCCGCGUGAGUGAAGAAGGUUGUCGGAGCGUAAAGCUCUGUUGUUAGAGAAGCGGUAACUAACAAGAAAGGGACGGCUAACUACGUGCCAGCAGACGCGGUAAUAC
rnacentral:rRNA from 1 species